GCCCCGGUAGCCCAAUCAGGUAGCCAGGCAGCGGACUUAAAAUCCGUCAAGUGUGGGUUCGACUCCCACCCGGGGUA
rnacentral:tRNA from 1 species